AUUGAACGCUGGCGGCAGGCUUAACACAUGCAAGUCGAACGAGUGGCGGACGGGUGAGUAAUGCUUGGGAAUCUUGCUUAUGGAGGGGGAUAACUACUGGAAACUGUAGCUAAUACCGCGUACCAUAGGCUGAGCCCAAGUGGGAUUAGGUAGUUGGUGGGGUAAAGGCUCACCAAGCCGACGAUCGCUAGCUGGUCUGAGAGGAUGACCAGCAGAACUGGGACUGCGACACGUCCCAGACUCCAACGGGAGGCAGCAGUGGGGAAUAUUGCGCAAUGGGGGCAACCUGACGAAGCAAUGCCGCGUGAAUGAAGAGGGCCUUCGGGUUGUAAAGUUCUUUCGGUAGGGAGGCGUUAACUACAGAAGAAGCACCGGCUAACUCCGUGCCAGCAGCCGCGGUAAUAC
rnacentral:rRNA from 1 species